AGAGUUUGAUCCUGGCUCAGAUUGAACGCUGGCGGCAUGCCUAACACAUGCAAGUCGAACGGCAGCACAGGUAGCAAUACCGGGUGGCGAGUGGCGGACGGGUGAGUAAUGCAUCGGGAUCUACCCUGACGUGGGGGAUAACCUCGGGAAACCGGGACUAAUACCGCAUACGUCCUACGGGAGAAAGCGGGGGACCUUCGGGCCUCGCGCGGCAGGACGAACCGAUGUGCGAUUAGCUAGUUGGCGGGGUAAUGGCCCACCAAGGCGACGAUCGCUAGCUGGUCUGAGAGGAUGAUCAGCCACACUGGGACUGGGACACGGCCCAGACUCCUACGGGAGGCAGCAGUGGGGAAUAUUGGACAAUGGGCGCAAGCCUGAUCCAGCAAUGCCGCGUGUGUGGAGAAGGCCUUCGGGUUGUAAAGCACUUUUAUCAGGAGCGAAAUACUACCGGCCAAUACCCGGUGGGGCUGACGGUACCUGAGGAAUAAGCACCGGCUAACUUCGUGCCAGCAGCCGCGGUAAUACGAAGGGUGCAAGCGUUAAUCGGAAUUACUGGGCGUAAAGGGUGCGUAGGCGGUUCGUUAAGUCUGUUGUGAAAUCCCCGGGCUCAACCUGGGAAUGGCAAUGGAUACUGGCGGGCUAGAGUGUGUCAGAGGAUGGUGGAAUUCCCGGUGUAGCGGUGAAAUGCGUAGAGAUCGGGAGGAACAUCAGUGGCGAAGGCGGCCAUCUGGGACAACACUGACGCUGAAGCACGAAAGCGUGGGGAGCAAACAGGAUUAGAUACCCUGGUAGUCCACGCCCUAAACGAUGCGAACUGGAUGUUGGUCUCAACUCGGAGAUCAGUGUCGAAGCAAACGCGUUAAGUUCGCCGCCUGGGGAGUACGGUCGCAAGACUGAAACUCAAAUGAAUUGACGG
rnacentral:rRNA from 1 species